UGAACGCUGGCGGCGUGCCUAAUACAUGCAAGUCGAGCGAACUGAAGAGGAGCUUGCUCCUUUGACGUUAGCGGCGGACGGGUGAGUAACACGUGGGUAACCUACCUAUAAGACUGGAAUAACUCCGGGAAACCGGGGCUAAUGCCGGAUAAUAUGUUGAACCGCAUGGUUCAACAGUGAAAGACGGUUUUGCUGUCACUUAUAGAUGGACCCGCGCCGCAUUAGCUAGUUGGUGAGGUAACGGCUCACCAAGGCGACGAUGCGUAGCCGACCUGAGAGGGUGAUCGGCCACACUGGAACUGAGACACGGUCCAGACUCCUACGGGAGGCAGCAGUAGGGAAUCUUCCGCAAUGGACGAAAGUCUGACGGAGCAACGCCGCGUGAGUGAUGAAGGUCUUCGGAUCGUAAAGCUCUGUUGUUAGGGAAGAACAAAUGUGUAAGUAACUGUGCACAUCUUGACGGUACCUAACCAGAAAGCCACGGCUAACUACGUGCCAGCAGCCGCGGUAAUACGUAGGUGGCAAGCGUUAUCCGGAAUUAUUGGGCGUAAAGCGCGCGUAGGCGGUUUUUUAAGUCUGAUGUGAAAGCCCACGGCUCAACCGUGGAGGGUCAUUGGAAACUGGAAAACUUGAGUGCAGAAGAGGAAAGUGGAAUUCCAUGUGUAGCGGUGAAAUGCGCAGAGAUAUGGAGGAACACCAGUGGCGAAGGCGGCUUUCUGGUCUGCAACUGACGCUGAUGUGCGAAAGCGUGGGGAUCAAACAGGAUUAGAUACCCUGGUAGUCCACGCCGUAAACGAUGAGUGCUAAGUGUUAGGGGGUUUCCGCCCCUUAGUGCUGCAGCUAACGCAUUAAGCACUCCGCCUGGGGAGUACGGUCGCAAGACUGAAACUCAAAGGAAUUGACGGGGACCCGCACAAGCGGUGGAGCAUGUGGUUUAAUUCGAAGCAACGCGAAGAACCUUA
rnacentral:rRNA from 1 species